ACUUGGAAAGUGUAGUUUUUGCGAGUCAAUUAGCUUCCCUUUGUGACAUUAUGAUAAUGAAUGGAAAACGCUCCACAAGAACCAUUAUGUGACUAAAUUAUUGUCUCGACCACUUGUUAGCACUACCUCUUCAAUACAUGCCAUGUGUGCCAACAUUUCUGAUGUACUGAUCUUAUCUUAACUAUAAAUUGUGCUUUAAACAGGCUUGUGAGCUUGACUCUGUACACCGUUGUGUUGGCUAGCCUGUGUUUGCUGUGCCGUGUACCCUCUAUCCCUCUCUACAGCCACUCCACUAUUGCUGCAGCGCCUACUCUCGCUGUGAUGGUGACGCUCUCUGUGUCGACUGCUCUUGCGCUCCCUCUCGCGCUCACUGCCUGAUGAGUAGUUACUACAACAAUCCACCAAUACAUUCUACUGUACAAUAGUAACAUUUACAAAUAAUUAUUGUAUUAUUAAUAUUACGAGGUGAUUUCACUAAAAUCUUAAAAUUUUAUAUACAUUAAAAAUUCUAUUUUAUUUUUAUUUUCAAAUAUAAAGUAGGUUAACAUUCAUAUUGUGCUCAGUAAACAACAAGCAGAAAUUGUAUAAAAAUUUGUUGUGAUGAUGUUUUAUCAACUUGUAGUUCAUCAACCCCAAUAUGUAUACUGUUGAAAAACUAUUUUCAAAUAAUUGGGUGUUAUUAUACAAUAGAUUACCUUUGUGAACCUUAAUUAAAAUAAAACUAAAAUUUCCUUUGUUUUGAAACUUUA